UCGUGCUAGGUGGGGAGUUAGCGGUGCCCUGUACUCGCAAACCGCUCUAGCGAGACUGAAUUCCUGUUAGAGACCUGAAACGAAGUAACCUCUUUAAUAGUUUAAUAAUGUUGAUAAACAAGUCCUACGCGGCAAAACUCUGUGAACCCCGUCAGGUUCGGAAGAAAGCAGCGGUAAGCGGUAAGUUUUGGGUGCCGUAGGGUAACUUGUUUUGAGUUGUUAUACUGUUAUAUGUCACCACGACAGAACGAAAAUAGGUGCUCGG
rnacentral:SRP_RNA from 2 species